CAUAGGUUAAUGAGGCGAACCGGGGGAACUGAAACAUCUAAGUACCCCGAGGAAAAGAAAUCAACCGAGAUUCCCCCAGUAGCGGCGAGCGAACGGGGAGGAGCCCAGAGCCUGAAUCAGUGUGUGUGUUAGUGGAAGCGUCUGGAAAGGCGCGCGAUACAGGGUGACAGCCCCGUACACAAAAAUGCACAUGCUGUGAGCUCGAUGAGUAGGGCGGGACACGUGGUAUCCUGUCUGAAUAUGGGGGGACCAUCCUCCAAGGCUAAAUACUCCUGACUGACCGAUAGUGAACCAGUACCGUGAGGGAAAGGCGAAAAGAACCCCGGCGAGGGGAGUGAAAAAGAACCUGAAACCGUGUACGUACAAGCAGUGGGAGCACAGAGCAAUCUGUGUGACUGCGUACCUUUUGUAUAAUGGGUCAGCGACUUAUAUUCUGUAGCAAGGUUAACCGAAUAGGGGAGCC
rnacentral:rRNA from 1 species